UACGGAGGGUGCAAGCGUUGUCCGGAUUUAUUGGGUUUAAAGGGUGCGUAGGCGGCUAUUUAAGUCAGUGGUGAAAUCCUGCAGCUUAACUGUAGAACAGCCAUUGAUACUGGAUAGCUUGAGUACAGACGAGGUAAGGCGGAAUUUAUGGUGUAGCGGUGAAAAUGCAUAGAUACCAUAAAAGAACCCCCUAUUGCGAAGGCAGCUUACUAGG
rnacentral:rRNA from 1 species